ensembl:lncRNA
GGUAUAAAACAGGUGUCAAAGGGAAAUCUGACCUUUGUGCCUCUUAAGUUCAAUGCCACCUUUCACCUCGUUUGCCUUUGUUGGAUUUUGUGGAAAUGAAAGUGUAAAAUUACAACCGGUGGUGUAAGGGAGGGAGGUGGGGGUUAGGGUUAGCAGUGGCUGCAGCCAGAAAUUAACAAGAAUCUAAAGAAAAACGUUUUCCAAAACCUUGAGCUAUUCCUUUAAUUUUGACUUAAUUAUAACUGCAAAAGGACUGAAAUGUGAACACUCAAAAGCACCAUUGUGUGAACAGCUUGGAAGUACAUGAAACCUGCCAGUUUAACAGCUAUGUAAUUUGCCUUUCAACACUCUGACCAACUGGCAAAAUGAAUAUAUAUGUUGCCCUAAUCCUCAUGUUUUUUUGUUUUGUUUUGUUUUUUUACACCUCUGUAUCCCUCUCUUUCUCUAAUUUUCUGUUAUCUCCUUCCUUCUUUGCUUUAAUUGCCCCUCAGCCUCCAUUCACUUCCACUGAUCAUACACCCAGGGGUACUGUGCAGCUGACAAAAUAGAAAACAAUGCUCGUCAUGGUGGGAGUGCCAUUGGCUGGUCUCUCUCUGUGCCUCGCAGCCCAUCAAAGCUAAUGAAAAAUAAUUCUGAUGAAGUCUUUUUUUUCACCACAGUCAUCAGUGAACACACACUUAGCUCUGGGUAUGAUUAGACUUCUCUUCAUUCUCUUCCCUUCUUACUCUCUGUGUGUCAGUAAACUGCGUGUCAGUGUGCAUGAGUGAAACAGUCCAAAUGUGUAUGUGGUAAUGGCUAAUGGACGGUAUGACUUUGGGUCCUGGGUGGGUUGUUCAAAGCACUGGGACAGUUAGCUAGGGUAAACUUCUCCUCUGCGUACACAGUAGCUGAUUUCAAGGGUAGCAGAUGGAUGCCUAAUGCUUCAUCUGAAUGCUUGAUGACAUUUUAAUUAAUUUUGAUCAGAUUUUUAAGACAUCUUUAUGGCAUCAUCUCAAAGACUGCUUGCUUUACUUUGAUGGUUUAUCAGUGAACUGUCAAAAAAGCCUAUAAAGGUGCAAGUAUCAGUGGGCCUUUUUUUGCCUCUUCAACAAACCUGCUGAUCUGUAGGUCUUAGAAAACUGUAUGUAAAUAAUAAAGAAGCACUGGCAUUUACAUUAAAGUCUUUAAUAUAUAGCAAUGAUUGAUAAUCACCUUAAAGUUUUGUGGUGAUUCUGAAAUGACGUGAGGUAGUGAGUCAAAAUUCCAAUUUGAAAUCUUACGAGUCCAGGUUUGUUCAUUUUGUCCUCAGAGAGAUAUUUCUGACUAUCUGAAAAUCUAAUCUAAAAAAAAUAUCCCAGGGCUUAAUGUGGUUACAGCCGCUGCCAAUAACACACAUUAGGCUCCCUGUAAAACCAGAACAUGCAAGACUGUAACGGCAAAAUCCUCUGCAAGGCUUUGUUUUGUUGCCCAUGAAUUUAACAUUUCUUUUCAAGAGGAAAAAAAUCUUACUUAUUCUUUCACAAGUUACAAAGCUUCAUUUGAAGUACAUAACAAAAACAAGGUCAGAAUGUCAAGGCUUUAGUUUUCAGCAUAGGAAGUAAUCAGUAAUCAGCUACUCCGUAGUGGCUGCUUGAUAUAUUCCCUCUGUAGCUUUUUAAAUCAGUGUUGUAAAGACUGAAGAAGAAGCAGCAGUCAACAUAUUGCCAUUUUAUUGUUUCCAGCUGCAGCAUGAAAGAAUUAAAAGAAGGAUAUGAAAGGAGAUCUGAUUGCCUUUUGAUGAUGGAUGAAACAUUCAGUAAUGAAGAAUUUCAUUUAGCCAGUAAACUUCUUGACUAGAUACACAUACUGAGAUUUAUAGGAUGUUAUAUGGACAUUUUGGAGAACCCUUGUGUUUGUGUGGUGGAAGUCUCCCCUAUGAAUUUGGUAUAUAUAUAUAUAUAUAUAUAUAUAUAUAUAUAUGUAUAUAUAUAUAUAUAUAUAUAUAUAUAUAUAUAUAUAUAUAUAUAUGUAUAUAUAUAUAUAUAUAUAUAUAUAUAUAUAUAUAUAUAUAUAUAUAUAUAUCACAAACUUUCAAAAUGUCCUAAAUAAGAUUUUUGAAUGUCGGCUUUUAAAAAUAAUCAAAAUUAAUCCAGGGAAAAUUAAAGUGCUGGCCAUUGAAGGACAGGUUGUUUUGUAUUUAUGAUCAGACCAAAAGAAGAAUCAUGAAUUUGCUGCUUAUACAACCCACUCUUUUAGCCAUCUGCCCAAGUUAUAUUGAAUUAUGUCCUUGUGUGUGUGUGUGUAUUUGUGUGAGCAUGUGUGCACAAAGACACGUGGUUAAGACCCCUACUGUUCCUCCUCCCUCCUCCCACACACAAUCUGUCAAUCCUUCCUGCUGUCUAAUACUGAAGGAAUCCACUACACAUUCACAAUACACACACACGUCCACACGCUCAUCCAAAGCAAAUAUGACCAAGGUAGAUUCUCAGAAGCCACAUGAGAGUUCACUGAUGUAACACAUUGCAACUUCCUGUCAUACAACCAUGCUGAACAGAGUGGCCGAAGUGGCCUCCUGGUGCCACUGUCACUGAAACGAGAUUGAAUGUCUUACUGUCUAUACUCCACUUCUUGGUAGCGCUCGAUUGCUCUCAUCUUCUUUCUCGACAGCCAGCAUCUGAACUCCACAACGAAAUCUCUUCAAGACUUACCACAGAGGCAUUUUCUAUGGGGCUAUUAUGUUCACAGAAUAACAUUGUGACAGAGUCAACACUUGUUUCAUCUCUCUGUACAAACUGUACAAUCUUCUGCUCCUCUCUUCCCUCCUGAGUAGCCCUGCAGGUUCUGUGCUCUUGUCUUUCUUCUUUCUCUCCCCCUCUUAUGCUCUUAUUCUUUAAUUUAUUGUGAAUUGAUUUCCAAGGUUGUUUUGCCUUUGUCGCUGAAGGUAAAGUUUUCUUUUCUGUCUUCCUUUUUGUAAAAUUGAUCCUUUUUUGUUAAGUUUAGUCACUGCUAAUGUAACAAAACGCACUGUGAUGAUUCCAGUAUUAAUAAAAGUUGUACUUAAACUGUG